GACGACCAGCCGGUGGCCGAGCCGGUCCCGGCGCUCCCGGCGCGGGCCGAUUCCCGGGUACGGGACACCGCGCCGAUCUCCCCGGCGGUCGGCAC
rnacentral:tRNA from 1 species